AAACUUUCAAGAAAACAUAUUUAAAGUAACAGUGCAUGUAAAUCUGGUAGCUCUACUUUUUCACUUUAUCAUCUAAAUACUUCAAUAUGAGAGGAAAAAUGAAAACAUAGUUCCCUUCUCAUAACAUCUGUCUCAUCAGGACAUCUUCUCCAGUGCAGGGAAUGGUGACAAAUGGAACAUAGUCAUUCCACAGAGAAACACCAAGAGAAAUACCAAGCAGAGCCAGGAAAUUGUUGUCAGGCAGCAAUGACAUCAGCCCACAGCCCUUGCCAGCCUCCCUCCAUCACGUCAACAGAUCCAGAUCGCUGCUCUGGAAAGGGCCACUCCCUUCCCCUUGAAUCAGAGAGCACAUGAUCAGAUAUAAAAGGCAUUUUAAAAAAAUUUAGAAGAGCGUUGUGAGCACUUGACAUCUGAUGUUGAAUGUGCAAUUCAUUUGUUUUUAUGAAUAAAAUAAUCAGCAUUUUGGAUGGAUCCCCUUCUUCUUGCCCUACUGUUGUCACCCCUUAAAUUUUGCUUUUUUUUCUACAGAGCAAGUUAAAAGGAUAAAAGCUCCUAUUUUAAAAAGUAGAUCAUCCCCUCCACAAUGUAUUUUGUUACCUUAUGCUUUUAGGCUGCAUCCACUGUUGCAAUUGUUUCUCUAGCCUGCUUUUGAGAUUGUGUAUAAUAUCUGUGUUCCUGAGUGAAUCUGUCAUUGUGCAUGUCAAAAGGGUGAGGAACCCAACUGCUAAUUCAAGUUCUUUGCUUGCUUGGCUUGUUCAUUUCAUAAAUAGCAGAAAAUGUUCUUCAGUCAAUGACUGAUUUAUUUUCAAAGUUUAAAAAUGUUAAAAUAUACUUUUUGGAAAA